UGGGGAAUAUUGCGCAAUGAACGAAAGUUUGACGCAGCGACGCCGCGUGAGGGAUGAAGGUCUUCGGAUCGUAAACCUCUGUCAAGAGGGAAGAAGUGCAGGUACUCUAACAUAGUGCCUGUUUGACGGUACCUCUGAAGGAAGCACCGGCUAACUCCGUGCCAGCAGCCGCGGUAAUACGGAGGGUGCGAGCGUUAAUCGGAAUUACUGGGCGUAAAGCGCGCGUAGGCGGAUAUGUAAGUCAGAAGUGAAAUCCCUCGGCUUAACCGAGGAAUAGCUUUUGAUACUGUGUAUCUUGAGUUCGGGAGAGGUUAGUGGAAUUCCAGGUGUAGGAGUGAAAUCCGUAGAUAUCUGGAGGAACAUCAGUGGCGAAGGCGACUGACUGGCCCGAUACUGACGCUGAGGUGCGAAAGCGUGGGUAGCAAACAGG
rnacentral:rRNA from 1 species